AGAAAAACGCACUCAGUUUUCAACCCUUCGGAUAGAGCCAAAGAAACGCCAUGGGUUAAGAAACACAUUUAAAACUAAAGCAAACAAACUAUAAACCUUCUCUGGCUAUUGAGCAGAGGAAACAUAUGGAGACAGAAUUAUCCCAGUGGAGUUUUCUUUGCUAGCAGAAGUGAGAGGAAGAAGCCGCAAGACGAGUGGUGAAUAAAAUCAGCCAUAGGGUCAUCUAGAACAAGAGACCCAUCGGACGGCUCGUACAGCUAUUUUUACUUUCUAAUAAAGAGAGGAUGUCACAUGAAUUGCCAGGAAAGCAAAUAUAUUCUUGAUGCUUUAACCUUGUUUAAGUUACUUAAUUUGCAUUCAAAAUUUAAAGAACCAGCCUCAAUCCAUGAAACGACCAGAGUGUAUGUGAGAGUGCCCCAUUUAAACUGGCUACACACAGGCAAGCCUGGUUCAGAUGAACAAAAAAGCAAGUAGAAGUGUCAUCGCUUCUGUAUAUUUCAGAUCAAUAAAG
ensembl:lncRNA